UUUGGGAAUCUGAGUAGUUACACUGACUGAGCAGCUGCACCAAUCAGUCUGGAAGGAGGAACCCUUCCCCCAGGCCUGAAUCACCUGGGGACAAGACACACUGAGCAGCUAGCUGAGCCUGGGGAAUUAGUAGAAAAUAUAGCACAUCUGCUACAUUUUGGCUCUGGAAGAAGCCUAAAGCAACAAAACGAAUCAGGUAAUUAGCCCAAAAAUGUGAAUGUUACAUUCAGGCUGUCUCAGAAGUUAGAAAAUACUGUCCUCAGAGCCAGGUUGUCAUUGUAAGCAGAAGCAGGAGCAGUUUCUGUCCUCUGUUUUUCCAAGAUUGUUUACAAAUCAGGGGAAUGUCCUCCAGGACUGUUUGAUAGCAGGGCCUUGAAGGAAAAUUAUUUGCUGCGUUAUAACGUGACUACCUAAUAAGGAAAAGAACAUUUUGAAACUGUUUCCAGUCCAGUUCAAAGUGUAAAAAGCACUGUUUAAAGCAGGACCCCAGGCACAUGGCAUAAAAGCUUGCUUGUCUUGCCUUCCGGGUGGAGGUGCCUGUCUGCCUUUCCUUGAGCAGAGUUCAGAGCUCUGUGACCGCAAAAGGGAUGGGGUGAAAUGCACCACCUUUCAGAAGCAAGGUACGUACCGCAGCUCUCCAGCGAAACAAAUAAUGCCCCAGACUUCAGUCUCAUUAGUGUAUUUUGCAUGAAAUCUUGAAAAAGAUUUCUUUUUCUUCCUUCCUACUUACAUACAAGCCAACAGCUUGUUAAAAGAGCCUGAAAAUAGAUCUGUUUCUCAUAAACACUAGAACCGCAGUCAGCAGAACUGUCGAUAUACGCUAAGAGGGCUACUCACACUCGGUGGGCAUGGUGAUGAUGGUUUCCGUCGUGGCGUGGUAAUCAUCGUCUUCCAAAGAGCCAUCGCUGCUGUCAUCUCUCUGGACAUCGUACUGAUCAAUCAGUUCCCGGAGCGGAGGAGCUUUGGGCAAAAGUUGUCUUAUAGCAUCUUUGCUGAUGUUAGGAGCUGUUUCCAGGCGAAGUUUACUGAGGAUUUGAAUUUUUAUGGCUUCUAUCCUUGAAGAUUUAGUGUUUUGUCUCCAAGUACAUGCAUUACACAGCCGCUCUUUUUCCACAUUUUCUUUUUGCUCACUGUUCUCAUUUAGAUCCACUGGACCAGCGACAAUCAGCAUGAACAGUGAUGCCAAGCAAAGUUUUAAUGCCUGUACAGUCUGAGGGACAACUUGCCACACCAGUGAAUCUUUUAUACUGUAUUCCAAGUGGCUUUUUAUAUUCCAACUUUGAUGAGACAAGUGUCGUCAGGAUCUAUGAUUGGC